GCGUUGUCCGGAAUCAUUGGGCGUAAAGAGCGUGUAGGCGGCCAGAUAAGUCCGCUGUGAAAUCUCGAGGCUCAACUUCGAGCUGUCGGUGGAAACUGUCUGGCUAGAGUCCGGAAGAGGAGAAUGGAAUUCCUGGUGUAGCGGUGAAAUGCGCAGAUAUCAGGAAGAACACCCGUGGCGAAGGCGGUUCUCUGGGACGGUACUGACGCUGAGACGCGAAAGCGUGGGGAGCGAACAGG
rnacentral:rRNA from 1 species